rnacentral:rRNA from 1 species
AUACGGGGGGGGCUAGCGUUGCUCGGAAUUACUGGGCGUAAAGCGCUCGUAGGCGGUUUGUUAAGUCGGAUGUGAAAGCCCCGGGCUCAACCUGGGAACUGCAUUCGAUACUGGCAAACUAGAGUAUAGUAGAGGCAAGUGGAAUUCCGGGUGUAGCGGUGAAAUGCGUAGAGAUCCGGAGGAACACCAGUGGCGAAGGCGGCUUCCUGGACCAAUACUGACGCUGAGACGCGAAAGCGUGGGGAGCAAACAGGAUUAGAAACCCCGGUAGUCC